rnacentral:rRNA from 1 species
GUUCCCCAACCCCCGCUAUGGUGACUGCGGAGGGACAUUACACAAAUAUGAAGGCGGGCUGGAACCUCUCGGGGUUACAGCCUUGCUGAAUUAUUCACCCUUGUCUUUUGCGUACUUCUUGUUUCCUUGGUGGGUUCGCCCACCACUAGGACAAACAUAAACCUUUUGUAAUUGCAAUCAGCGUCAGUAACAAAUUAAUAAUUACAACUUUCAACAACGGAUCUCUUGGUUCUGGCAUCGAUGAAGAACGCAGCGAAAUGCGAUAAGUAGUGUGAAUUGCAGAAUUCAGUGAAUCAUCGAAUCUUUGAACGCACAUUGCGCCCUUUGGUAUUCCAAAGGGCAUGCCUGUUCGAGCGUCAUUUGUACCCUCAAGCUUUGCUUGGUGUUGGGCGUCUUGUCUCUAGCUUUGCUGGAGACUCGCCUUAAAGUAAUUGGCAGCCGGCCUACUGGUUUCGGAGCGCAGCACAAGUCGCACUCUCUAUCAGCAAAGGUCUAGCAUCCAUUAAGCCUUUUUUUCAACUUUUGACCUCGGAUCAGGUAGGGAUACCCGCUGAACUUAAGCAUAUCAAUAAGCGGAGGAAAAGAAACCAACAGGGAUUGCCCUAGUAACGGCGAGUGAAGCGGCAACAGCUCAAAUUUGAAAUCUGGCUCUUUUAGAGUCCGAGUUGUAAUUUGCAGAGGGCGCUUUGGCUUUGGCAGCGGUCCAAGUUCCUUGGAACAGGACGUCACAGAGGGCGAGAAUCCCGUACGUGGUCGCUGGCUAUUGCCGUGUAAAGCCCCUUCGACGAGUCGAGUUGUUUGGGAAUGCAGCUCUAAAUGGGAGGUACAUUUCUUCUAAAGCUAAAUAUUGGCCAGAGACCGAUAGCGCACAAGUAGAGUGAUCGAAAGAUGAAAAGCACUUUGGAAAGAGAGUCAAACAGCACGUGAAAUUGUUGAAAGGGAAGCGCUUGCAGCCAGACUUGCUUACAGUUGCUCAUCCGGGUUUCUACCCGGUGCACUCUUCUGUAGGCAGGCCAGCAUCAGUUUGGGCGGUAGGAUAAAGGUCUCUGUCACGUACCUCCUUUCGGGGAGGCCUUAUAGGGGAGACGACAUACUACCAGCCUGGACUGAGGUCCGCGCAUCUGCUAGGAUGCUGGCGUAAUGGCUGUAAGCGGCCCGUCUUGAACCCACGGACC